rnacentral:rRNA from 1 species
UAAGGAAUAUUGGACAAUGGACGAGAGUCUGAUCCAGCCAUGCCGCGUGGAGGAUGAAGGUCCUCUGGAUUGUAAACUUCUUUUAUCUGGGACGAAAAAAGGCGAUUCUUCGUCACUUGACGGUACCAGAUGAAUAAGCACCGGCUAACUCCGUGCCAGCAGCCGCGGUAAUACGGAGGGUGCAAGCGUUAUCCGGAUUCACUGGGUUUAAAGGGUGCGUAGGCGGGUUGGUAAGUCAGUGGUGAAAUCCCCGAGCUUAACUUGGGAACUGCCAUUGAUACUAUCAAUCUUGAAUGUUCUGGAGGUUUGCGGAAUAUGUCAUGUAGCGGUGAAAUGCAUAGAUAUGACAUAGAACACCUAUUGCGAAGGCAGCAGGCUACAGAAAUAUUGACGCUGAGGC